UACGUAGGGUGCAAGCGUUGUCCGGAUUUACUGGGCGUAAAGAGCGCGCAGGCGGUCGUUCAAGUCGAGUGUGAAAGCCCCCGGCUCAACUGGGGAGGGUCACUCGAUACUGAUCGACUCGAAGGCAGGAGAGGGUAGUGGAAUUCCCGGUGUAGUGGUGAAAUGCGUAGAUAUCGGGAGGAACACCAGUGGCGAAGGCGACUUCCUGGCCUGUUCUUGACGCUGAGGCGCGAAAGCUAGGGGAGCAAACGGG
rnacentral:rRNA from 1 species